UACGUAGGGGGCAAGCGUUUGUUCGGAUUCAUUGGGCGUAAAGGGUGCGUAGGUGGCGCUGUAAGUCGGGUGUGAAAUUUCGGAGCUUAACUCCGAAACUGCAUUCGAUACUGCGGUGCUUGAGGACUGGAGAGGAGACUGGAAUUCAUGGUGUAGCAGUGAAAUGCGUAGAGAUCAUGAGGAAGACCAGUGGCGAAGGCGGGUCUCUGGACAGUUCCUGACACUGAGGCACGAAGGCCAGGGGAGCAAACGGG
rnacentral:rRNA from 1 species